rnacentral:lncRNA from 1 species
CAUUACCAGACUUCAAACUAUACAACAAUGCUGGUAGAAGAGCCUGAUGGCCUGGUGUUGGGCCUGAUCACCCCAAAAUUUCAGGCACCCAACGUGGGGCUAUGAAGACCAUGGUAAAGAAAUGCUAGAGUAUAUGGAAAUGAAGGACAUAUCAUCAAAGGACACCCGAGGAUGGCUGAAAGAAGCUUGGUGGGUAAGCUGGGCACUCUGAAGAACCAAGGUAACAAUGGGACAAAAUGAAAGUAAACAUUCUGCUUGUUUAAACUUUCUAAGGCAUUUAUUAUGGAGAGGGGGAGUGAAAGUUAGUACUCAGAAUUUAUUAACACUCUUUAGUACAGUGGAGCAGUUUUGCCUGUGGUUCCUAGAACAAGGGACAAUGGAGUUCGAUGAAUGGGAAAGAAUUGGCAGAGAUCUAAAAAAGGUGCAUAAAGAAGGAGCCAAAAUUCCAGUUUCUUUUUGGUCAGUGUGGGCAUUGAUAAAGGCAGGUCUUGAGCCAUUUCAAACAAAUGAUGAGGCAGAUUCA